rnacentral:rRNA from 1 species
UACGGAAGGCAGCAGUGGGGAAUAUUGCACAAUGGGCGAAAGCCUGAUGCAGCUAUGCCGCGUGUAUGAAGAAGGCCUUAGGGUUGUAAAGUACUUUCAUCGGGGAGGAAAAAACAAAACUAAUAAUUUUAUUUCUUGACGUUACCCGAAAAAGAAGCACCGGCUAACUCCGUGCCAGCAGCCGCGGUAAUACGGAGGGUGCUAGCGUUAAUCAGAAUUACUGGGCGUAAAGAGCACGUAGGUGGUUUUUUUAAAGUACAGAUGUGAAAUCCCUGGGCUUAACCUAGGAAACUGCAUUUUGAAACUGAAAUACUAGAGUAUCGUAGAGGGAGGUAGAAUUCUAGGUGUAGCGGUGAAAUGCGUAGAUAUCUGGAGGAAUACCUGUGGCGAAAGCGGCCUCCUAAACCGAAAUACUGACACUGAGGGUGCGAAAAGCGUGGGGAGCAAAACAGGGAUUAGAUA